GAUGAACGCUGGCGGCGUGCUUAACACAUGCAAGUCGAACGGAGUUAACAUUUUCAAAGCAAUUAGCUUGCUAAGAGCGGCGAUGUUGUUAACUUAGUGGCGGACGGGUGAGUAACGCGUGGGUAACCUGCCGUAUACAGGGGGAUAACACUUAGAAAUGGGUGCUAAUACCGCAUAAGCGCACAGUAUCGCAUGAUACGGUGUGAAAAACUCCGGUGGUAUACGAUGGACCCGCGUCUGAUUAGCUAGUUGGUGAGGUAACGGCCCACCAAGGCGACGAUCAGUAGCCGGCCUGAGAGGGUGAACGGCCACAUUGGGACUGAGACACGGCCCAAACUCCUACGGGAGGCAGCAGUGGGGGAAUAUUGCACAAUGGGGGGAAACCCCGUAGAUGCAGCGACGCCGCGUGAGUGAAGAAGUAUUUCGGUAUGUAAAGCUCUAUCAGCAGGGAAGAAAAAUAACCAAAUUGACUGUACCUGACUAAGAAGACCCC
rnacentral:rRNA from 1 species